AUGUCGUUGCAGAGCUUGAUUAAGUUUAUGCAGUACAUUUUAUGGAAUAUGCUAACUCUCCGUUCUGCUAAAAUUACAGGACACCUUGUCCCAGCAGGGUCGGCACACUCCGCUCCACUGAAAUUACAGGACCGGACGCCGUGUCCGGGGAGAAUUGGUGCACUGGAGCAAACGGUUCGGGUAUAUACAGAUAAGUUGGGUGAGCAUGCUGCUAUUGGGCUAACAUCGGACUCUGUGGGAGAAACCAAAUAUUUUUACAAUCUUUAUUCACGGAAGCAUGGUUUCGGCAUCAGAUAUGGGAAAAGUAGGCUUAACAUCGAGAAGACAAAGUGUAUGCAGGAAGUUGUCUAUGGAUAUGCUCUGGGAAGCCAAAUAUCAGAAAACAGCAGGUCCUGCCGGUGCGAGUGCCCAGCCAUGAUUCGAUUGCUCUACGCAGCUGACAAUGGGAAUAACAGCUUGUGUCUUCAGAACCUGCGGGUUAGAGUUGGUAGCCAUACCCUUGACAGGAUUGCUCAUGUUGGGACGACGGGAUUAUCAUCUAGCAACCAUCCAACAACACAUUGUUCUUAUUCUUCCUCCCGUGUGAACGAUCACUGCCCACCGUCGCUGGCAAUGUCGUCGGCCUAA
rnacentral:rRNA from 1 species